AACUUAUUUUUCUUCCUUCUGUUCCAUUAAAACUUUGUUCUUCCCUAAACUUUUCUGUGCUGUUUUCUGCUCAAAGAGUCUCAAACAAAAGAAGAAACUGUAGCUUUAAAAUCUGAAAUUCAAGUUCAACCUAUCAAUUGUUUCCAGGCGAAUUUUGUAUUCUGCAAAGCAUAGUAGGAAGCUAGAUGACUCUACUAUAGGACCAUCAGGCCUUAAUUGGCACCCCAUAUACGGAUGGCAACCCGGAAGACCGUAUGUUUGAUAACGGUGGCUGGUAUCGGACUACCUUGACGACGGCGUGCGCCAAAGGAAUAGUAGAGUGACUUACGUCAAUAUUUCGUACAGAAGAGUACGAGCGGAGCUUGCAGCAGUAAGCCGGGCAGAGCUUACAGCAGGCUUUAACGUCUCGAAAGUUAGUAUUUUGUUGUCUAUAAUAUGUGUAUCACGGGGUUGCUGGGUAGUUUAGAAAUGUAAAACAUCCAUGCCUAUUUUCCUGUCGUUCUUUUGUGGAUACCGCCAUAUUUUUGAUGUGUAUAAUGGCUUUUUAUUUUGCAACAAAAUGAUAGGCUUGGAUUAAGUUUGUAAAGUUUUAAGGUCUGUUUAGAUUCGGCGUACGCAGAACCUCUUAUAGAACUUAUUACAUUUCUUGGAACAUUA